rnacentral:rRNA from 1 species
CCUACGGGGGGCAGCAGUGAGGAAUAUUGGUCAAUGGACGAGAGUCUGAACCAGCCAAGUAGCGUGAAGGAUGACUGCCCUAUGGGUUGUAAACUUCUUUUAUAUGGGAAUAAAACGUUCCACGUGUGGGAUUUUGUAUGUACCAUAUGAAUAAGGAUCGGCUAACUCCGUGCCAGCAGCCGCGGUAAUACGGAGGAUCCGAGCGUUAUCCGGAUUUAUUGGGUUUAAAGGGAGCGUAGGUGGAUUGUUAAGUCAGUUGUGAAAGUUUGCGGCUCAACCGUAAAAUUGCAGUUGAUACUGGCAGUCUUGAGUACAGUAGAGGUGAGCGGAAUUCGUGGUGUAGCGGUGAAAUGCUUAGAUAUCACGAAGAACCCCGAUUGCGAAGGCAGUUCACUGGACUGCAACUGACACUGAGGCUCGAAAGUGUGGGUAUCAAACAGGAUUAGAUACCCCAGUAGUC